GCCUGGAUAGCUCAGUUGGUUAGAGUGUGGUGCUGAUAACGCCAAGGUUGCAGGAUUGAUCCCCGUAAGGGACA